ACUGCAAGAGAGAGAAGAUGCACUAGGCACAGAAGCCAGGGAGGUGGUGCGUCCAACCAGCUGUCAUUCACUGGCGGAAGGCUCACUGGCUCUUUUCUGUGCAAGUCCCAACUGGCCCUCACAACAGGCCUAGAGAGAAGGAACCGAAACGAGAGGAUGAGAGCGCAGUGAGCCCUCCCCACAGCACCCCUUCACAGGUACAGUGAGGCGCCCGUGGGCUGUGCAGUUCUAAUGGGCUACGUGAUUUCUUCGGAUGGGAGAAGUCCAGUCACCUCAUCACCAAGUUCAGACUUUACAGCUGCCCCCAGGAGUUUGAUGACCACAGCUUGAGCUGAGGUCAUGAUUCUGGAAUGCACAGCCUCAGUGGACAACCUCCGUACAAGACACAGAAGACAGGUGCUUGCUUAGCAAGGAAUGCACCCAUCUAAAACAGCCAAAUCCUUCCCCGAAAACUGCCUUCUCAGUCCGGGGUUCUUGUCAAUUCCUCUCUCCUCUCCCCCCCUUCCCCCGCUGGACUUGAACUCAGAGAUCCAUACCUGCCUCUGCCUCCCAAGCUCUGGGAUUAAGAUGUGUGCCACCUGGCUGUUCAUUCAUUUAGAGAUUUUAAAUAUU